rnacentral:rRNA from 1 species
UCUGGUUGAUCCUGCCAGAGGCGACCGCUAUUGGAGUUCGAUUAAGCCAUGCGAGUAGAAUGAAUUAGAUUCAUUGCGAACUGCUCAGUAACACGUGGAUAACCUGCCCUAUGCUCUGGGAUAACCUCGGGAAACUGAGAAUAAUACCGGAUAGAUCACAACGCCUGGAACGGUGUGUGGUUGAAAGGUUACGGCAUAGGAUGGGUCUGCGGCGUAUCAGGUCGUAGGGGGUGUAAUGGACCUCCUAGCCAUCGACGCGUACGGGUGUUGGGAGACAUAGCCCGGAGACGGAUUCUGAGACACGAAUCCGGACCCUACGGGGUGCAGCAGGCGCGAAAACUUCACACUGCAGGAAACUGUGAUGAGGGAACUCCAAGUGGAUGCACAUAGUGUAUCUCUUUUCUUUACUAUUAAUCGGUAUUGGAAUAAGGGCUGGGAAAGACCGGUGCCAGCCGCCGCGGUAAUACCGGCAGCUCGAGUGGUCGUCGCUUUUAUUGGGCCUAAAACGUCCGUAGCCGGUUUGGUAAAUCUGUGGGUAAAUCAACUAGCUUAACUAGUUGAAUUCUGCAGAGACUGCCAGACUAGGGACCGGGAGAGGUGUGGGGUACUCUAGGGGUAGGGGUAAAAUCCUGUCAUCCUUAGAGGACCACCAGUUGCGAAGGCGCCACACUAGAACGGAUCCGACGGUCAGGGACGAAGCCUAGGGGCACGAACCGGAUUAGAUACCCGGGUAGUCCUAGGUGUAAACGCUGUGAACUUGGUGUCGGGAGUCCGCAAUGGGCCCCCGGUGCCGGAGUGAAGAUGUUAAGUUCACUGCCUGGGGAGUACGGUCGCAAGGCUGAAACUUAAAGGAAUUGGCGGGGGAGCACUGCAACGGGAGGAGCGUGCGGUUUAAUUGGAUUCAACGCCGGAAAACUCACCAUGGCCGACUGUUAGAUGAAGAUCAGCGUAAUGAGCUUAUCGGAUUUUCAGAGAGGUGGUGCAUGGCCGUCGUCAGUUCGUACUGUAAAGCGUUCUGUUAAGUCAGAUAACGAACGAGACCCUCAUCUCUAUUUGCUACCCUUCUCUCCGGAGGAGGCGCACCAUAGGG